GGAUGGAGGCAGAGAAGAAGAGUGUCUCCUACAGAGUCAAACAACUAGUAACUGUCUGAGGGCAGAUUUGAACUUGAAUCUUCCUGACUAGGUCCAGUGCUCUAACCAUUGUGACACCUAGAUGGACUAAGGCAUUGUCCUCAUUUUCUGGGUGACCAACAUGUCUCAGAGGCAGGACUUGAACUCAGGCAUUCUUGACUCCAUCCCCAAAGAAGGCUGACUCUUGUUUUGUACAGAAAGAGGAUUGAGCUUAUUGGUUUGGAUUGAAAGAGGAAACGGAGGCUCAGUAAGAGGCUGAGCUAAGAUCUGACCCCACAUCUCCUGGCCUGAAGCCCUGGGUCCUUUCCUCCAUCACCAGCCUCGGGAACAGGCAGGCAAGUUGGGCUCAGAUCUGCCCAAGGGCAUCUCUCCCUGAAAGAGAAGAAGCUUAUUGUCUGCUGCUUUGGACUUCAUGUGACUUGUUCAGGGAAGACUUCCUCCCUGGCUCAAGGGGGUUUACUGCCCUCAGCUAAGUGGCAUCUUUAUUGUUUGUUAGUUUCCAACACUCUCUGGUGGGGAGAGGCUCAGCAAAAGGGAUUACUGGAGGGAAAAGGAAAAGAGGGGAAAGAAAGAAAGGGAAAGAAAAAGGGGAGGAGAGGGAGAAGAUGAUGUCCUUGCACCUGGGACCUUGAGGAGCUGGGUUCUCUGAUUGGUGAGACUCACCUUCUCAUUUUCUGUCUUAUUCAGAUAAUAAUCUCUUGAAGGUAAUCCUAAACCAGACUGGUCCACCUAGAAUGAAACAAAAUACAUACUUGUAAUUAUGAAGAACAUAGGCCAUUCAGAUCUCAUUUCUCAGAUAUCAAUAAUAUUGGAUACCAAGCCAAAUUUUU